CAGCAGGGUUCUACUUGGGGGCGGAUGGCCUGAGAUGGUGAUGGAAAAGGCAGUGGAUGAACUGGCUAAAAAGACUCCUGGUAAAAGAUCUCAUGCAAUUGAGGCUUUCUCCCGGGCACUUUUGGCGAUUCCAACCAUCAUUGCUGGCGAUGCUGGUCUGGACAGCGCUGAGCUGGUUGCGCAACUUCGUGCAGAACACCACAAGGACAAAAGCAAUGCAGGAAUAGAUGUCAUAAUGCUGGUCUGGACAGCGCUGAGCUGGUUGCGCAACUUGUGCAGAACACCACAAGGACAAAAGCAAUGCAGGAAUAGAUGUCAUCACCGGAAAGGUGAGUAAACCCACUCAAAAUGUCGGAAUAAUUAAUUAUACUAUCUUGUGGUGAGUUCAAAACACACUUUAUUCAUGAAAUCAGCUUUCUAAAUUGCUUUGCUUGCUCGAAUUUUCCCUUGCUUUUCUGCAUAACAAUGCAACACUGAUAAAAGACUUAGCAGGAACCUGAUGACGUUACAUGAACUGAAUAUGUGGCUACAUGCUUUUAAUGGAUAUGCCCUCACAAUAAGGCACCUCUGUUUAAAUGUUUUCUCAUCAGCGUCUUGCAAUUUGAUGGAGGGGAAAUUGUAUGGCAGUGCCCUAUGGAUGCAUGCAUUAAGAAAAGCAAUAACUUAUGUUCUUUAGCUUUUCUGUUUACUUAAGGGGAAAAUGGAGGUACCCAAAAGGAAAAAAGAAACAUGAUUUACCUUGGUGUUAAGUUUGAUCCAUUCUUUCAGUAGAUUUCAGCUAAGAGGAGGCUUGAGUAUUGGUCUUUGUGUUUACGUGCUCUUUUUUCUUUUGGUAAUUCUUCUUGGGUUUCAACUGG
rnacentral:lncRNA from 1 species